UACGAAGGGGGCUAGCGUUGCUCGGAAUUACUGGGCGUCACGGGCGCGUAGGCGGAUAUCUAAGUCGGGGGUGAAAGCCCGGGGCUCAACCUCGGAAUUGCCUUCGAUACUGGAUAUCUUGAGUUCGGGAGAGGUGAGUGGAAUGCCGAGUGUAGAGGUGAAAUUCGUAGAUAUUCGGCGGAACACCAGUGGCGAGGGCGGCUCACUGGCCCGAUACUGACGCUGAGGCGCGAAGGCGUGGGGAGCAAACAGG
rnacentral:rRNA from 1 species